AUUGAACGCUGGCGGCAUGCUUUACACAUGCAAGUCGAACGGCAGCGCGGGCUUCUGCCUGGCGGCGAGUGGCGAACGGGUGAGUAAUGCAUCGGAACGUGCCCAGUAGUGGGGGAUAGCCCGGCGAAAGCCGGCUUAAUACCGCAUACGACCUGAGUGUGAACGCGGGGGACCGAAAGUCCUCGCCCUAUUUGAUGGCCCGUUGACGCAUUAGCUAGUUGGUGGGGUAAAGGCUUACCAAGGCGACGAUCCGUAGCUGGUCUGAGAGGACGACCAGCCACACUGGGACUGAGACACGGCCCAGACUCCUACGGGAGGCAGCAGUGGGGAAUUUUGGACAAUGGGGGCAACCCUGAUCCAGCAAUGCCGCGUGCGGGAAGAAGGCCUUCGGGUUGUAAACCGCUUUUGUUCGGGAAGAAAUCCUCUGGGCUAAUACCCCGGGGGGAUGACGGUACCGGAAGAAUAAGCACCGGCUAACUACGUG
rnacentral:rRNA from 1 species